GGCAAGUCUAGAUCUGUUGGUCUUGUUUUAAAAGAUCAAAAUAAGCCAAUUUUGCCAUAUAACAUGUAUAAAAAUAUUUAAGGCAAUUUGUCAGAUAUUUUAACUUCAUUUCAUUUUACAUUAUUUCUUUUAGCAUUUUCUAUGGAAGUACAUGUACUUCAAGAAGAAGAAGAAGCUAAGCAACAGAAUGGAAUUCUCUGAGGCAUUGCUUUCUAGAUUAUAUGAUGGAUUCAUAGAUUUUCAUAUUGAUUUAUGUGCAUAUAAAGAGCAGCCGGCAAUUAUUUUAUGACGAGAGGUAUGUACAUGUAAUAAAAAGGAUAACUUUGUUUGAAUAUUUUGUUGUUGUCAGACUAUCUACAUGUUACACAUUUUGAUUUCGUGUAAGCUGUGAAAAAAUAUUUUUUCUACUGGACCAUUUUAUUGAAAAUAGCAUUGGAAGCUCUAUAUACACUCCAUUGCUUGUUCUUUUUAUACGACCACAAACAAUUUUUGGGGAUUGUAUAAUGGUAAGGUGUUGUCGUUAUCUGCAGCGUCCGAAGACACAUUGGUUUCCGAACAAUAACUUAGGUUUAAGUGCAUAAAUCUUUAUGAAUUUUGUUUAGAAGGUCCAAUACCACAAAAAAAGGUUGGGAUGAUUUUGGGGAUGAUGGUCGGAAGUCCCAACCGUUUAGGAAUUAGGGGCCCAAAAUGGGCCAAAAACAAGCAUUUUUCUAGUUUCAGGAUAAUAGCUUGUUUAUAAGUAUUUCAAUUGCUCUGAAAUUGUACCACAAUGUUUAAAACCACAAGUACAAGGUUUUGAUUCAGUUUAGGGGUCAUGGGGCCAAAGUUUAGGAAUAAGGGGCCAAAAACAAGCAUUUUUCUAGUUUCCAGACAAUAACUUGUGUGUAAUUGUAUAGAUCUCUCUGAAAUUGUACCACAAUGUUCCAUAUAACAAAGGGAAGGCUGGGAUAGAGUUUUGGGUUAGUUGCCCAAAAUAUGCAGGAAUUAGGGGCCAAAAAAAGAAGCAUGUUUCUAGUUUCCAGACAAUAACUUGUGUUUAAGUGACUCAUAGGCGGAUUAAGGUGGGAGGCCCAGGCAGCCCUGCCCCCCUCUUUUCUGGGAAAAUUUUGGUUGAUUAUAUAGGGAAACACUGAAGCAUGUCCGGAUCAGUCCCCCUCUUAGGCAGUCACUGGGCCCCAACAUAUGAAAAUUUCUGGAUCCGCCAUCGAGUGUAUGGAUCUCUCUGAAAUUGUACUACAAGGUUCCAUACUACAAAAGAAAGGAUGGGAUUGAGUUUUAGGGUUAUUGCUCCAAGGGGAUUUCAAUAAGUUGAGGGGGGGGGGAUAGUUUGUUUACAACUUUUUUAAGGGAUUCCUUUUUUUUUUCAAAAUUUUUCAAAUUUUUGAUUUUUGAAAAGUUUCAUGCAAUAAUGUUCAGCAAAGUAAGAUCUACAAUGGUCAACAUAACCAAAUUUUCAAUGGACCCCUUAAGCAGUUGUUGCCCUUUAUAGUCAAUUUUUAACAACUUUCUCGUAAAUUUUGCAAUCUUUUCCUCUUUUGUGUUUUUGAGCAAGAACUAAAGAAGAUAAAGAGAAACUUAACAGGCUAUUAAUAAAAUAUGUUUACAGGAGUUUUGCCUCUUGGAAAUAGAUAUUGAAUUUGUAAGGAAUUGCAUCCCACACAUGUCUACUUUUCUUGUAGAUUAUUUUUAUAAUUUAUGAAAAAAUGUUAAAAAAAAAGAACAUACUUAUUUGUUGUGGUUAUUGCUUUUUGACAGCAAAUUUUAUAUAUCCAUCAAUUGGUGAGGUACAUUGAAACACUGUUCUUUUAUUAAAUGCAUGAAGUAUACAGAUGGUAACACAAAUGACAACAUGUUAUUUUCAUGAGUUUAAUAUUUAUAUAUGUUGUAUUUCAACAAUUUUGCCUAUGAAACAGCAAAUCAAGAUUUAAUAAACCAGGAGUUAAUGCCUAAAUGGAUUUUUUUAAACUUAGGCAGAAGAAAUAGUUUUUUUAUAUAUACAUGAUAUAUGAAAAGUUCAUGCUAUACAUAUAUUUGUUGAUUUGUUUAUAAAUUGUUUCCAUUAACUCAAAAGUAAAAAGUAUUAAUUAGUGAGCAUCAGUUCAUACUACAUGUACAUUUAGUUUUUGUCUGGACUUUUGGAUUAACUUAAAAUUUAUAAUUUUAGCUUGUUACCAAAUGAAAGGAAAGUGCAGUAUUAGAAUCACUGGUGUACAUGCUAUGGUGUACAUGUACAUGAAGGUGCAGAUGUCCUGUAAAAAAAA
rnacentral:lncRNA from 1 species